GUAGUCCACGCCGUAAACGAUGGGUACUAGAUGUUGCGGGAAUUGACCCCUGCAGUGUCGCAGCUAACGCAUUAAGUACCCCGCCUGGGAAGUACGGUCGCAAGAUUAAAACUCAAAGGAAUUGACGGGGGCCCGCACAAGCGGUGGAGCAUGUGGUUUAAUUCGAUGCAACGCGAAGAACCUUACCUGGGUUUGACAUCCCUUGACCGCCCUAGAGAUAGGGCUUUGUAGCAAUACACAAGGAGACAGGUGCUGCAUGGCUGUCGUCAGCUCGUAUCGUGAGAUGUCGGGUUAAGUCCCUUAACGAGCGCAACCCUUAUGCUUAGUUGCCACCAUUUAGUUGGGCACUCUAAGCAGACUGCCGGUGUUAAACCGGA
rnacentral:rRNA from 1 species